UUUUUUGAGGAGGAUUUUUCCCUCUCACACCCUAACCAAUGGCUUAUAGAAGAAUCCACUUUAGAUGUAACACUUUAAAAGAGAUGCCUGGCCAUAAUUCCAGGUGCUUUCCCAGAGUCAGACUCUUCCCUGGAAGUCACAGGGUUCCUUGCAUAAAGAAGUUCCUGCUGGAGCUAGGUGGAAUUAAUUGUUUUCUUCAUUUUUAAGUGAAGGAGAAGGAGAGGAACAUAGUAUUAAAAAAACCCAAAACCACAACAACAAACCAAGGCAUGAAAAGGAAUCAGCUGCUGAUGGUGUCACCCUUGGUUAUUAGUUUUUUUUUAAGUAGGGGGCGCAUAACUUGGAGUAGUUUACUUUUUACAGUACCUUGCUAGCACACUUUUGUUCAAGUGGGCAGAAUUGCCGUUUUAGGAUUCAAAUGGUUACAACUUUAUUACCAUUAGAUUAAGCCAGCACAGUAUUGCUGAGACACACAGAUGCUUUUCAUGUUAAACAUCUGGAAUUGCAUUAUGCUGUUUGAGUGCAGCAUAAGUCUGAGUGGAAAUCAUGUCAUUUUUAUGAUACCGACUGCAUUUAGCAUAGAUCCAUGUGCUGGAUUCAUCACAAGUAACAGGCACCAAUUCAUGCUUUGUCCACAAUAAACAACACUGCAGAGCAGAAAGUGCAUUUGUGCUGCAGGCUUGGAGCUACAGUGAAAUGGACGAAUUCAGGGGGAGUUCAAAAUCCCUGAUGAUGGAUGAAAUCCAGCAACCACCUGAGCAUCAAGUUCAUGCAGCUGGACAAUCUGUUGCUCCCCAGCCUGCAACACAUGAAUUUCAGGACAGAGGUCAUGACAAGCCUGGUCAAGAUGGGUAUACCCAGAGUCAAAGGAGAAUGUUAAAAAAAUUCCAAAGCAGAUACCUAGCAAGGAAGUUUUUCUAUCUGUGGGCAAAAAUAACAUUUGGACAAGUUCUCCCUUCCAAAGCCAGAUGUUUGUAUGAUCAGAAGAUUCUUCAGAAAACUUUUGCAGAGUGGAAGGAGCAGUGGACAGUUUGCAGAGAAAAGAAGCUCAGCCUCAGGGCAGACAACCAUUACAGGCAUUUACUCCUUAAUUUGAUAUUCAAGGCUUGGAGAACCUAUAUAUGCCAACAGCAAGGAAAGAGGAACAAGUAUUAUGUUGCAGAGUCUCAUGCAAAGAGGCAGACUCUGCUCAGGACCUGGCAGCACUGGCUGGUUUAUGUUGAUGUUCAAAGGACAAAACAUGGGAUGCAGUCUGUGGCACUGGCAUUCAGGAGAAGGAGCUGUUUGCGCAUUUCAUGGGCAGUGUGGAGAAGACAACACUACCAGAAAUGCUCUGGACAUAAAAUGAAUAUUUUGGCUCUGCAGCAUUGGGCCCAGAGCCUGCAAUUUCGAGCUUGGUUGCAGUGGCGAGAGCUGUAUUUACACACCCAGAAUGAAAAGCAGAAGGACACCAGGGCAGUAACUCACCAUCAGCACCGGGAGCUGAGGAGAUGCAUGGGAGCAUGGCUGGGAUACCUGAACCUCCUCAGAGUAAAGAAAUGCCAGAAUGAGCUGGCCCAGGAGUUUCACCGGCGCAGGAGGCUCCGGAGGUGCUUCUCCGAUUGGCAGCUGGCAUGGGAGUGCAGGAGAAGAAUGCGUGCUCACGGGAGAGACCUGGAAAAACAAGCAGCAAGGAUUGCCUUAUGGAGAGCCUUUGCACACUGGAAGCAUUAUGUUGUGCUGUGUGUGGAAGAGGCUCAGCAGUGUGAGCUGGCUGAAAAGCACUACAAGUGUCACCUGUUGGAACUUGGCUUUAAAGGUCUUCGGCAGAAUGUCCUGGAUGCUCAUCUUCAGCGAAUGAGAGCAAAUCUGUCAUCCUGUCAGCAUCGAGUCACAGUGCUGCAGAAGUACUGGAACUGUUGGAAGUCCCGUUUGGAAGAGAAGGAGGAAGAACAGCAGCAGGCUUUAACAUCAGUGGCUCAUGCUCGUUACAGGAGUGUGUUGAUGAGACAGGUAUUUGACACAUGGCUGCUGAAGACCUGCAAGCUGCAAGGAUAUCGAAUGGGAGAGAAGAAGGCCGUGCUCCAUUUCCAAAGGCGGCUCUUGCGCUGCUCCUGGUCCUGCUGGCGGAGAAGAGCAGCUGCACGUCUGGAGGAGCAGGAGGGCUUGGCUCGUGCAGGAGAGCACUACAGUAACCAGCUGCUGCUAAAGGCCUUCUGUCUGUGGAAACAAAAGACUCAGGAGAGAGAAACAGAGAGGCUCAAGGAGACAGAAGCGUUAAGAUUUCACUGCUCAAAGUGUCUGCAGCAGACUUGGAACAAGUGGAGAGAGUACGUGGGACAUCAGCGUGAGAAGUGGAGGAAGCUGGUGCAAGCAGACCUGCAUUAUCAACAUGUAUUGCUGGGCAAGACCUUGGCAGCUUGGAAGAUUUACCAACAAAACAUACAGUGCAUUCUGUAUCAAGUAGCUGAGAAGGAGAAACAGCACACUCGACUGCUGCUGCGAGAGGUGGUGUGUACGUGGAGAGAAAAUGCUCUUGCUCUUAUACAUGAAUCUGAGGCAACUACUCGGGCAGAUGAGCACUACAGGAGAGCAAUCCUGUCAAAGGUGCUGCUGCACUGGAGAGACACUGCCUGGCUACGAGCGUGUCACCGCCACCUGAAGGUGACAGCUGUGGUGGAGGCCAGAAAACAGUUGGAUUUAGUGCGUUUACAGAGCCUGUUUCUGCACUGGAAGGAAUUAAUGAGGGAGUCUCUGGUGCUGAGGGCUCAGCACCACAGGGCAGCACAGCACCACCAGCAGCACCUGCUCCAGAAGUACCUGGUGAAAUGGAAAGAUUAUCAUCAGCAGUGCCUUGGGAAAAAGCUGCUGCAGAGAAGGGGAGAUGAACUAAUGACUCACAGACUUUGCUCUGCUUCCUUCUCUUGCUGGAAAACUCGGCUGUUGCAGCAGCAGUGGGAAAAGCAGAAGACAGUGCAAGCAUUGUGGCACUGGUCCCUUUCUGUGCAGAGAAAGGUGUUUGAUGCUUGGCUCAGGUUUGCCAAGGGGCAGCAGGAGAAGAAAGAUGGCAUUGAAAAAGUCACAGGAGUUCACCAGACAGCUCCUUUGAGAGAGGGUGUAACCUGUGCCUGGAGAAACACUGCUGGCAUCAAACAGCUGCAGGGACAGCUCCAUACUCAGCCCCAGCUGGAGAAGCAAGUGACAUUUAAAAGGCCUGAUGUUAGUCCUGAGACCAGAGGACAUUCAUCAGAGGAAGAGCCAUGGCCUUCAAAAUGCAGACAUCUACCACUUCACCCUGCUGAGGGGGGCUCAGUGCUCCGUGGCCUAAAUGCCAUUCAACAAGCCAGGUUACCACCACAGAAGCCUGACUUCCCUCUGGAAUCUCUAGAAAGCAAGGAACUGCUGGGACCUCCUUUUACUAGGUCAGAGGUGCCCUUUCAGCAAACAUCUGUGAAUAAAUGUCCUGCACAGACUGGGAGCUUAAUGCUGACACCUCACAUGGAAGAAAGUACCUGUAAAUGUCUGUCUCAGAUGGACAGUGCUGCUCAUCCCCAUCAUCCCUCUCUCACUUGUGCUUCUCUCCCCCCAUGGACACAGGACAUGCACCGAGCUGGGCAGAGGCCAGAGCUGUGGUCUCCUGCAUCUUUCAUGUCCCACAUGAGAGCUGGCUCAGAAGAGAGAGGAGGUCAGCCUGCCAAUGGUCACAAAGGAGCCCAUUCUCAAGACUCUCAACAGAAUUCCGUGGAGAAGUUGCCACCAAAUUUGCAGCCACAUUUGCUGUCAUCUGAAGACUUGAUGGGAAAAAGGAGUCACCAGACUGCAGCUGAAGGGGAAAAGAGGGAGCACAGUUCCAGAGAAGAAAUGAUGUUGGAGAGAAAGGUGGAAGUUGAACUCUGGCAUAUCCAGCAGCAGAUGCAGUACUACUACAGCAGGAAGCAGGAGCUCAAGUGCUGUCAGCAGCAGGCACAGAUUCUGCAGCAGUGGCUGGAAAUGAGCACGCAACCAGGAGCCCAAGAUGGUGUGCAAGGAGUUCAGGAAGAAUUGGGUCAGUUGCAGGUGAGGAUCAGCACUCUCACCAAAGCACAGCUGGCUGAGAGACAGCACGUGCAGGUCCUGCUUGCCCGCCUGCGAGACAUCCAGCUUGCCCUGGAUCUGUAGGAUCUACCAACUUCCCAGCUCAGUGGUAGGAUUUUUUGCCCCUUUCAUAGCAGGGGACAAUGGAAGAGAUAAAGGUGCCUGCUAUGGUCCUGCUCACCUGGUCAAAGUAGAUGCGGAUGGAGCCCACGUUUGUUGCUCCUACAGCUGUUAGUGAGAAGAAGCCAUGUUUCCAGUCACCUGUAAGGACAACCCGUUCAUUGUGACAGAACAGUUCCUUGAUCCAGCGAGCAACUCCAGGAUUGACAGACAUCAGAGAGCCUGAAGAAGUGAGAAAAUAUUCAGGUUAGGUGGUCUGGUUUGUAGCAAUACUGUAAUGGCACUCAGAUGGUGUUUUCAGUGUAACUGGAGCUGAUCCAGUAAACAACUCUGUCAGUUAUUUGUAGGAAGAGAGGCAAGUGCCAGGCAGAGCAAAUGAAAGAGAAGUCUGUGCUGAAAACAAAGGGGUCACAGAAGGAUGCGUGUGGUG